UUACUUAGAUCUCCCAAACCAAAUAAAUUAUCGUUCAUAGUUAAAUUUGAAAUUUGUUGUUGUCCUGAAUGAUGAGCAGUCUGUACAUUCAACCCAGGAAGACACUGAGAGACACCCUGUAUACGUGAACCAGAUUGAACGCGUGCAUGUCCACGUAUGUUAUUCGCUAGAUUUUCAGUAUCAAGAUUAUCAGUAUUAAUCAAAUCAACCCCAGGAACAUCCUGCAUAAAAUAAUCAUUUUCUUGAUCUCCACUUCUAGCUUGAUCAACUUGUACAUUAUUAAGGGUCAUUCUCACUGUAUCAUUAACAAUUUUUGAAAUAAACAUAUCAAACAUUCUA